GGAUGCAUUGCACUGAGCGGCGGCAUGGCACCUCUGCUUCAGAAAUACGUUGAGCUUGGCAGGCCCGUGUUCAGGGCAGGGGGAAGGCGUGCACCGCACUGACAGCAAGCAGAUGGGAUUAGACACCGUUUAAUCACUUACGUGGGGCUGAGCCGAUUGCCAGGAUCGGAGUGGUACCUGCACAAGCCAGGGUUUGGAAGAGGCUGUCUGUGCGGCACCUGGCCUGCCCGCGCUCCAUGCAGUGUCUGCACAUCCCUGCUGAUCUCAGGAAGGCCAUCGGUCUGUCCUUCUGUCCAUCUGUCUUCCCAUCAGCAAUGGUUGGCUGAUGCUCUGCCAUGAGGAACAUUUAGAGGCCUGAAAGUUUGCAUAAAGAGGAACUCCCAUGGAGACCCAGACUCAAAAGAGUAAUAUUACCAUUGGUGCACAUCAGGUGAUUUCUCCAGGAUGGCACAGCUGUCUGCCAACGCCAGUGCCUCCAGCACUUGCCUGAAGCACAGCUGGCUGUACACUGAGACCCAGUGUGCACUUCCUACAGCAUAUAGAUCAGGCGCAGAACCAUUUCCUGCCUCAUCUGGAACUCAUGGCAUAGCACAAGUCAGCCAGGGAGUCCCAGUGUGCCAAGUGUCUGCCAGGAUGAAGCUGUGCUCCUGUUUCCGUGAUCGCUUCUGCAACCACAAGGUCUGGAGAAAGCACAGGCCAUGCAGUCCAUCCCUAGCUAUGCACUUGAGGAAGAUGGCAAAGUGGUGUCUGAUAGCACCUUCUGUAGGUCAUUCAGUGUGAAGCUGCAGCAUACGCAGGGCUAGUGAGUAGGACCCCAUCUAUCCCAGCCCAACCUGCCAGCCAGGAGGCACGGAGUGACAUGAGGCUGCUUUCCAUGGAACUUGAGCUGAACGGCAAUGUGUGCACGUUCAAAAUAGCUGUGCAUUUCAAAGGAAGAAACAUCUUUCUGAUUGGUUUCAGGUUUAUAAGUUUCAAACUCAAUCAUAGAAAGCAUUUCUGGUUCACAAAGCCAGACUUCCCCUGUCGGCCUCUUCCUCCAGCCACGGGCAUUUCCCAGCCACCUGUGCAUGUGACACAGCUGGUGGACAUGCCCAGCAGAAUGAGGAGCUGCCAGCCCUGCAAGCUUUGCUCAGUGCAGCUCACAGACUGCCCUUUGCCAGCCUCCAGGCCCAGAAAGCACAGAGACAGGACACUUGUGAAGCAGUGGCCCCCAGCCUCUCCCAGCCUGCCACAUCCCCGCUCCCCAAAACUCCCUUCAGCUGUGCCAUGUGCCAGGAGCAGACGGGCACCCCGCUUGUCCUUAUUGUUAGAGCUCAGGGACUGUCCUUCUGAUGGCCAGAGCCUGCUGCUCAGGCUGUGCCACGUUUGUCUGCAAGGAAAUGGGAUGUUUAUGUUUAUUCAAAUCGAUACUGAUGGAUUACAUUUUUGUUCUGUUUAGCAGCUGCUUGGAUCAUUUUAUACCACAAAAGGUGAUUAAGAUCCAAAGUACUGUAGGGCUGUGUUACGAGUAAGAGCCGUUUAAUAGCAAUAACAAUGAAUAAUAAUGUGAAGUAUGGCUUUUAGUCAUUAUUAUGUCUAGAGUUAGUUUGUUUUUCAUAUCUCUAAAUGCAUACAUAUAUGUAUGUAUACACACACACACACACAUAUAUAUAAGGAAUACACCCAUCUGCUGAUCUCUUGCUCCUUGGAGUAACAGUCUGUUCAUCACGCCUGUACAAGUCUGUACCCACACACGUACUGCGAUUAAUGGGGAUUCCUGAGGCAGACGUGUGCAUCUGGAGGGCUUCACCUGGCUCAGUGCUUGGUGACCGUUCAGGGCCAGUGUGGAGAUAGGUCUGAGAAAGACAUUCCCCUGGAUGUCUGCAUAUGGAUAAAUUGCUGCUGACAAGGAAUAAGGAUAAUUGAGGCUGGUUCCCUGUUAUUGGCUAGAGCCAUGAAGAAGAUAAUAGCUGAAAAUAUGGCUGUAAAUGGGAGACGCUCAUUUAUUUUGCACAAAUUCUUUAAAAUUAGACCUUAUAGCGAACACUAAAACGUAUGACUAUUACAUUUAAAUGACUGCUUAAAUCCAAAGGAAAAAAAUCAUGUGUUCUUAUCCUGUCUGACAGGUGGCUUACUUCUGAUCCUACCUCUUAAUCUUCUAAGUCAUGUUUUCUUUCAAACUCUGUUAUUCCAUUUUAAAAGGAGAUUGGGUUAUGUAGGACAAUGUAUUAUGAAGCAUAAUGCUCACUGCUGGUAAAUCAAAUAUAUUAUUGGGAAAAAGAAAGAAAUUCAGGGUCACCGUGUUGGCCGGUGAUACAAGAAGACAACCAUUUUCAGAGGUCUGGGAGAGUGGGGUCAGACAGUUUCUAUUUGCAGCCUUUGACACGUAUAUCGCUGUGAGCUAGAAGAUAUCCAAAAGAUGUGCUGAGGAUAUCUCUGCUUCUCACGCAGCUCCUUGUGCACGUAGUGUCUGUCGUGCUCCUCCUUGCAGGCACAGGACUCUCAGGACACAUCUGAGAGGGCUCUGUGUGAUAUCAGGCCCAUGGGUGUUUCUGUGUGUUGGUGGAUAUGUGUCAGUUCAUGGCAAAUGAGGUAUUUGUGGUCUCUACUUAUCAUAGGCCAAACAGAGCUAAACGAAGAGCCCCUAGAAAUGAUUAUGAUGAGUUAACCUGAGGGCUUCUUCCUCCCUAAGCCCCAUCUCCCCUCUCUUCCCAGCCAGUGCUGCUGCAAAGGAGAACAUGCUAUUGAUGGACACCUACCGUGACUGCCAUGACUGUGCUUUAGAGACAAAACUGGGAGCAGAUGCUGCUUGGCUUAUAGUCAGUUCUCCAAAGCCCGAGGAUAUCCCUUUGCAGAGACAGAAAGAGGCAUUACCCCAUUAGUGGUUCAUUACAGUUUUUGUCUACUGCAAGGCAAACAUG
rnacentral:lncRNA from 7 species